UACAGAGGGGGCGAGCGUUAUUCGGAAUUAUUGGGCGUAAAGGGCGCGUAGGCGGCCACCGCAAGUCGACUGUGAAAUCUCCGGGCUUAACCCGGAAAGGUCAGCCGAUACUGCGGGGCUAGAGUGCAGAAGGGGGCAACUGGAAUUCUCGGUGUAGCGGUGAAAUGCGUAGAUAUCUGGAGGAACACCGGUGGCGAAGGCGGCAUCCUGGACCGACACUGACGCUGAGGAGCGAAAGCCAGGGGAGCAAAGCGGG
rnacentral:rRNA from 1 species